GCCUUCGUGGUGGCAGUAGUCAGCACAUUCGACCCGUAUUCGAGAGGUCUGUGGUUCAAGUCUCGGCGAGGGCA
rnacentral:tRNA from 1 species